AACUUUUACACGGUGAAACCGCGAAUGGCUCAUUAAAUCAGUUAUGGUUUAUUAGAUGGUGCUAUCCUACUUGGAUAACUGUGGUAAUUCUAGAGCUAAUACAUGCGACAAAGCUCCGACCCUCGUUGGAAAGAGCGCUUUUAUUAGAUCAAGACCAACCGGUAUCGCCUUCGGGUGUGCCGUCGGAUUGAUGACUCUGGAUAACCUUUGCCGAUCGUAUGGCCCCGAGCCGACGACGAAUCUUUCAAAUGUCUGCCCUAUCAACUUUCGUUGGUAGGUGAUUUGCCUACCAAGGUGUUUACGGGUAACGGGGGAUCAGGGUUCGAUCCCGGAGAGGGAGCAUGAGAAACGGCUACCACAUCCAAGGAAGGCAGCAGGCGCGCAAAUUACCCACUCUUAGCACGAGGAGGUAGUGACGAAAAAUAACAAUACGGGACUCUUUCGAGGCCCCGUAAUUGGAAUGAGUACACUCUAAACCCGUUAACGAGGAUCUAUUGGAGGGCAAGUCUGGUGCCAGCAGCCGCGGUAAUUCCAGCUCCAAUAGCGUAUAUUAAAGCUGUUGCAGUUAAAAAGCUCGUAGUCGGAUUUCGGGCGGCGGCCAAUGGUUCGGUUCCGUGCCGAUACUGCUGGUCGCGGCCUCCACGCCGGUCGUCCUUCGGUGCUCUUAACUGAGUGCCUUAGGUAGCCGGAGCGUUUACUUUGAAAAAAUUAGAGUGUUCAAGGCAGGCCUCGAGCCUGAAUGAUGGUGCAUGGAAUAAUGGAAUAGGACCUCGGUUCUAUUUUGUUGGUCUUCGGAACUGGAGGUAAUGAUUAAUAGGGACGGACGGGGGCAUUCGUAUUGCGGCGUUAGAGGUGAAAUUCUUGGAUCGUCGCAAGACGGACUACUGCGAAAGCAUUUGCCAAGAAUGUUUUCAUUGAUCAAGAGCGAAAGUCAGAGGAUCGAAGACGAUCAGAUACCGUCCUAGUUCUGACCAUAAACGAUGCCAACUAGCGAUCCGGCUCCGUUGCUUUAU
rnacentral:rRNA from 1 species